rnacentral:rRNA from 1 species
CGCGGCCUAUCAGCUUGUUGGUGAGGUAACGGCUCACCAAGGCAUCGACGGGUAGCUGGUCUGAGAGGAUGAUCAGCCACACUGGGACUGAGACACGGCCCAGACUCCUACGGGAGGCAGCAGUAGGGAAUAUUGCACAAUGGGCGAAAGCCUGAUGCAGCAACGCCGCGUGCGGGAAGAAGGCCUUCGGGUUGUAAACCUCUUUUAGCAGGGAAGAAGCGAAAGUGACGGUACCUGCAGAAGAAGCUCCGGCCAACUACGUGCCAGCAGCCGCGGUAACACGUAGGGAGCGAGCGUUGUCCGGAUUCAUUGGGCGUAAAGGGCUCGUAGGCGGUUUGGUAAGUCAGGUGUGAAAGCUCAGGGCUCAACUCUGAGAAGCCAUCUGAUACUGCCAUGACUAGAGUUCGGUAGAGGAGCGUGGAAUUUCCGGUGUAGCGGUGAAAUGCCCAGAUAUCGGGAGGAACACCAGCAGCGAAGGCGGCGCUCUGGGCCGACACUGACGCUGAGGAGCGAAAGCGUGGGUAGCAAACAGGAUUAGAUACCCUGGUAGUCCACGCCGUAAACGAUGGGCACUAAGUGUCGGCAGGUUACUGCCGGUGCCGCAGUUAACGCAGUAAGUGCCCCGCCUGGGGAGUACGG